AUCUCCCUGGUUAAACUUAUUCCUAAAUUAAAUAAUUUAAUCUUAUCAAGAGGACUAGACAGAAAUUUUUGGUCAAAAGGACAGUGUCCUCUAGGAUAAAAAAAUCCACCAAAUAAAAAAGAAAUUCACUUAGCAUUUUUGAGAAAUUCAUUUCUUCAUCAUUAAAGCAAAUGCAUGUUAAGUUUUUCUAAUUGAAAAAUGUAGUUUAUACCCAGAGAUUCUAUGAAAAUUGGAUAUUAGAUAGCCUUAUAUUAACAUAUCAACAGCUUAUUAGUCAUUUCUCAGGUGCUUGGUAUUCUUAUUUCUAAUUAGCAUCCUUUUAUAACAUAAUGAUCUUUUAAUAUCUUUGAUAUAAAAAGCUGGUCAGACUUAAAAAAUAACCUUUAUGGUCCUUCACUUUUUCUAUUUAACAUUUUGAUCUCUGAUAUGCACAAAAGACUAUAGUGGACCCUUGAUCAACGUGGGUUUGAACAGCUCAGGUCCACUUAUAUGGUGAUUUUUUCUCAUAAAUAUGUACUACAGGACAACACAACCUGCAGUUAGUUGAAUCCACUGGUGUGGAACCAUGGACAGGAGGGCCAACUGUAAAGAUAUACUCAGAAUAUUUGACUGCGUGGAGGGUAGGCAUCCCUAACCCCUGUGUUGUUCAAGGAUCAACUGUAUUUGUUUUUAAGUCAUUUCAUGGUGAUAAGACUUGCUUCACUACUAAACUGUAAAUGAGGUGACCAUUCACAGUGAUUAACAGCAAACCUUCUGCAGCCAGACUCCUUGAGUUCAAAUCCUAGUUUUGCUACUUAAUAGUUGUGUGGCUUUGAUCAAUUACUUAAUCUCUUUAUGCCUCAAUUUUCUCAGCUAUAAAAUGGGGAUAAUGUUGAUAAUAAUUCUUACCUUGUAGUGUUAUAGAAGGAAUUAAAUGUAUUAAUACAGGUCAAACAUUUAGAACAGUGUCUGGAAACUAGUAAGAUCUAAAAAAAAAUCCAAGCUAUUAUGAAAAUUUAUUCUUACAAUAUUUUAUUGCCAAGAUACUAUCUCAGUCAGCUAGGUAAAAAUCCAUCUUAGUCAGUAUCUCUACAUUUCCUGAUAGUUUUGGUGAGCUGUAUCUGUUUAUACAUGUGAUAAAUGCCCUGUGUGACAUUUCUUUCAGUUCCUGGUCCUUGACAAAACUACAUCUUGUGUAUUCACUGAUUUUUUUUUUACAAGGGAAUAUAUAUUGUCAUGGGGUGAAUUCUGUCCUCUUCCAAAGAUGCACUGAAGUUCUAACCCCCAGUACCUCAGAAUAUUACCUUGUCUGGAAAUAGGGUCUUUGCAAAUUUAAUCAGGUUAAGAGGAGUUCAUGAGGGUGGACCCUAAUCCAAUAUGACUGGCGUCCUUAUAAAAAGGGGAAAUUUGGAUACAAACACAUAGAAGGAAGCAGAUGUGAAGAUGGCCAUGUGCCUAGAGUGGCACAUCUACAAGCUAAGGAAAGCUAAGGAUUGUUGGAAAACACUACAAGCUAGGAAGAGGCAAGGAAGGAUUUUCUCCUGUCAGAGAGAAUCAAGGUCCUGGGACACCUUGAUUUCAGAUUUUUAGCCUCCAGAAGAGUGAGACAAUAAACUUCUGUUGUUUUAAGCCACCUAGCUUUUGGUACUUUGUUAGAGCAGCCCUAGGAGACAAAUACAGGUAUCAUAUAGAUUUAUCUACAUUCUAACUAGACACUGAGGAGGCUGCAAUUAAUCAUUCCCUCAUUUUUUUUCUUAAGGGUCAUGAACUAUGGAUUUGAAGAAAUAAAUCCUUAAUUUCUAGGUGUAAAUGAACUAAUGCAAUUAUUUUUGAUCAGUGAGUGGAAAACAAGAUGGUGAGUGACUGAACAGUGUCACAGCAACGUGAUUGGGCCUAGAUUUAUUUCCAUUUUCUACUGAUAUACUUUCCAAGGGAUACCUUUAUUAAUGCUUUUUAAAAAACUACCACUGCUAUCUUCUAAAAUGAUCUACUUUUAUAUUCUGGGAGACAAAUGUACCUGUUAAAUAAACUGUCCUUAGCUCCUUAAGUACCCAUCACACUGAUAGAUUGAUUUAGCAGGGAAUUAAUAGAUCAGGUAGUUGAACUGCUUUACUUCUCACAGGAGGAAACUAAAGUCAAGAGAGGUUAAGUAACUCGGACUUGUGAUGCACAGUCUAGAGGCUGUACUUAUUAUAACCUUUUUUUCUGCAUCACAUCACUAAGGACUUAAACGUAAGUUAAAUCACAUUUAAAAGAUCAGAUUCUUCUGGAUCUUUUUUAUAUCCUCUUCAUAGCUUGUAGUAUUAGUGGCCUACCAAGGGGAAGUGAUAACUGUUUAUUGGGGAGAAUGCUUGUUUGCCAGUUAUCUUGAAUCUGUAAACAAACUUGCUAUUAAUAGUUGAGUAGAAUGUGGGUAUAUAUGUGGGUAUAUAUGACUUCCCUGUCCUUGUGAUAGCCAUAACACAUCGAAGCCAGUGCAUGUGAAGUCUACACUGUUUUCUAAAGGCAGAAGCCUUCCUUAGGGUGGUUAAGUCAGUAGGAAUAUUUCUAAAUGGGGCAUCAAGUAAAGACUGGUCCUGAGUUUCAGAAGCAUGUAGACAUUUUUAGUACGACCUCAUAUCCCAUCAUAGCUGACUUUGGAGGCACUGGGUGAGGAGGUCAUGAGAAAGAUCAACAAACCAAAAUAAAAGAGAAUCUAAGUAAAACUACCAAGAUCAAAAAAAAAGAGAAAAAGGCAUAACAGCUUUAAUAAAUGACUUUGUCUAGAGCUAUUAGUCAAUUCAUAGCUCGAAGACUCAACCUGGUAAUUAACAGUUUAAUUAAUAUCUACUAAUCUACAGUUACUUAGGGACCUCUCAUCUUCAAAUAUUUGCUUCAAAUAUUAUUAAACUUACUUUCUGCCAGAAAUCAUGCUAAUUACCUUACAAAACUGUAAGAAACUAUAAACAUUAUCCUCAUUUUUACAAGAAUGAAAAUGAAGCUAAGAGAGUUUAAACAACUUGCUUUAUGUUGCAUUCUUAGCAAACGAUUGGGCCAAGAUUUAGACUUAGAUCUAACUCCAAUGACACUUGCAUUCAUGAUCUAAUCAGAAGGUUGAUAGAAUCCCUGACUGGGCAUCUUUCCGUCUCCCUGCUGUUAGGUAACAUAUGGGCCCUCCUGCUGGUUAAGCACUUGGGUCAUUCUCUUCAUCUGAGGUCAGUUUUCAAUAUAAUCCUUUCUUCUUUCAGGCCUUAGGGAUUUGGUCUGCUUACUUUUCUUUUUUCCAGCUGUCACUGAUUCUCCCUCCUGUGAUUCAUCUCCUACUAGAAUUCUGGAACAGAAUACAGAUUCCCUUUUUUUUCCCUCUUUCUGUUAUUUCUGAUUAAAAAAAAAAACAAUCUUCAAAUUUUUAAGGAGAAUCUCACUAGCAACUUCAAGUUGCAAUAUAAUGAUAUUACAAUUGCUUCUGUGCUUCACUAGCAAAAGGUUACUUUUGCUACUGAUGUUAAAUUUACUGUUCAUAAUUAUUUUUGCAUAUGUUCUUAGACACUUAUAAGGCAAUAAGUAGAAUUUUAGUUUGACUCAAUUACAAUUUCAUAACCCUUGCUCUUUCUGCAGGCGUACAACUGUCCUGAUUUAUCUUGCUAUAGCUUAUACUUGAGAGAUACUAAAAGACAUUAUUGAAGAUUAUAUUAUCAAGAUUUACAUCUUAAGAAAUAACUAAAGACAAGAGACCUGAAUAUGAGGAAGUUCAGAAAACGCCCGCCUAUUAGCCAACUUUGCCUUUACUGAGACUAGUAUUUAUGGAGCACUUCAAGUUCUAAAUGCUUCUUAUAUAAAAAGCCAUGAUGAUGAUUAUCUACACUUUACCGAUGGAGAAAUUGAGGCACAGAAUCUGCCCAAGAAUACUAAAGCUGGGAGCCUCCGUCAUGUCGCUAAACACACUCCAGGCCCAGGAGCUGGAAGUAAGGAAGAGGGUCCUGGGAAAGAUGAAGCAGCUACUUUCCACCAACGAGGACUGGGCAUGGAGCUCACGUGGGCACCUCAGGGAAUAACGUGCCUGGAAGAGCCUUCUGGAAGGAUGUGAGAGUCAUGAGAACGAGACCUGGAAAGCUGAGCUGCCCCGGCCGGAUAGAGCCCAGGAAAAUGAGGACCCAGCCAGUCUGCUCCCAGACAGACAAGAGAGGCCAGCUGAGGCCGGGAGAAUCACACAGCCUUAGUCUCUGAGCUGCACCUGAUUCUAGCUGUAUGAGCAAUAAACGCUUAUUCUUUUUAGCCACUGAGUUUUAGGGUAGUGUUUUAGGCAGCAUUGUUUGUAGAAUAGGUAAGUGUUACAAACUAUUCUUUAUUACUAACUAAACAUGAGCGCAUGCCCAACCCAGGUGAUACGUUUUAACAAAAUGUAGAAACUAUGAAAUACCUAGCGUUCUAUUGCAUCAGCUAUUUUGGCCUGUGUGAUGUUUCCUGAGAGCCUCUAGCCAUUUAGUAAACCUAGUUUUGACUUUAGGUACAGGAACUGGGGGUGAAAGAAGAAAUUGAGUAUGGCCAUGGGGAGGAACUGUUAUAAUGAAUGUUUGUGUCCCCGCAAAAUUCAUAUGUUGAAACCCUACCCCCCAGUGGGUCUGUAUUUGGAGAUAAGGGCUCUAAGGAACGAAUUAAGGUUAAAUAAAAUCAUAAGGGGGGUGCUCUCAUAGAAUUGUCUUCGUAGGAAGGAAUAUCAGAGAUCAAUCUCUUUCUCUCUCAAGCCCUGUGUGCACACAAAGAAGAGUCAUGUGAGAACACAAGGCCAGCUGCUUACAAAACAUGCCUCGGAACGAAACCUACCUUGCUGGUACCGCGAUCUUAGACUUCCCAGCCUCCCAAACCGUGAG